UAAAGUAGCUAGGCAGGGUCUAAGCCUUCUAAGCUUAAGACCGAAGGGCUCGCUUCCCUUUCGCUUUUA
rnacentral:tRNA from 1 species